rnacentral:misc_RNA from 1 species
GAUGAAGAACGUAGCGAAAUGCGAUACUUGGUGUGAAUUGCAGAAUCCCGUGAACCAUCGAGUCUUUGAACGCAAGUUGCGCCCGAAGCCACUAGGCCGAGGGCACGCCUGCCUGGGCGUCACACGUCGUUGCCCCCCCCCCAUCUACUCCUUCGGGAUUGCGGGGGGCGGAUGAUGGCCUCCCGUGCGCCUAGCCGCGCGGUUGGCAUAAAUACCAAGUCCUCGGCGACGCAUGCCACGACAAUCGGUGGUUGCGAAACCUCGGUUGCCCGUCGUGUGCGUUCGUCGCGCNNNNNNNGCUCGAAAAAAUGCUCGGCUCCGGCUCGGCUUUCAACGCGACCCCAGGUCAGGCGGGGUUACCCGCUGAAUUUAAGCAUAUCAAUAAGCGGAGGA